rnacentral:lncRNA from 1 species
CUUGAAACCGACAUUUCCAAGCAAGUGCCCGUGGACGCUUCCAAGAUGGUGAUCUGGUUAUUUCCAGGUAAAUGUCUCCAACACUUCAAACUCAGUAAGUCCAGUUCCAAGCUCAUUAUUCCUCCCUUCCAUCCUGCUACUCUGCCUCCCAGACUACGUUGGUCAGCAUCACCCUAUAGAUCUUGUCACCCACAUGCCACACCUUGGGUCGUCUUUGACCAAGGUGUCUGCGUGUCCAGAUUUGCCCAGGAUUGUUCAGUGUGUGUCUACUGUCUUGGUAAAAUGACCGAUAGUACUCUUUUCAUCCUCAAAACCAUUCUGGAUUGGACAAUAAAUUAUAUGGUCACGCUAUUCCUCCUCAUCUCUGAUUCCUGUUCAACCCAUCAGUAAGUCCCACCAACAUCGUUAGCCUUCGGUGGUGACAGGCUCUUAAACUAGCCUCCCUGCUCUGUAUUUCUCCUCUGUUCAACUCAUCCUUAGACCUCACCACCAGUCUUGUCUAUUUAGGCCACGACUUUUAUCUUAUUACUCUCCUGCUUCCCAUUGCCUACAACACGGAGUCCACUCUAGACCCGUCUUAUGCCAUAGCUGUCCAGAGAACAUACACCCAUCCGACAGGUCAGGAAUCUGUAUCGUGUUAUCUGGAGAAGGGCUAGUAAUCAGGCACUGGAAAAAUUGUUCCAUGCCCCCUAGAUCUGCAUGAGAUGGCCUGGCAAGAGGAAGACAAAUUAAUAAUUGAUGAAGAGAAAAGAUUUCAUGUGGUCUGAAUGAAUCCUGGAAAGUGGCUUGGUGUCUCUCUGAAUUCAGAUCUGGGGGUGUCCAUAGAGAGAGGUCUCCUUGGGCAACAACCCCCCCAGCUCACGUUUUCUCCCCACCGCUCACCUGCUUUUUCCCCUGGUUUCACAAAAUUCCAGCCAGUUUUCCUCCAUUUCUUGUUCCAGGGCUGGAGUCCUCAGGGACCUCUUUUCAUGUUUGGCCAUUUCGGGUUGGCUCUCAUCCAGCUGCUGCCUGCCUGCUGCACUCCAGGCCAACUGGGAGCAGCAUUCUACAGGAUCAAGGAUCACAGGAACACCCAAUCCUUGGCAAGAAGCAAGAAAUUACCUCCUCGUGAAGGCAGAGGUAAGAGCAUGACUCCUCCCAGUCCCUACAGCAAAUCAGCGGCAGAAGUUGGGCACAGAAGGCAAGCUGCAGACUCCAGACUAAGGAACACCAUUACUUCCCUUCCACCAUGGGGGGAACUGGGCCGGGGGAAGCCAGGGAGAAGGGCAAGGGACAUCUCCAAGGUUGGCCUCUCCCAAAUAGAUGAGACUCUCAUUGGUGUCAAGUGACUUUCGCCUUCUGGCAUUGAGAAUCUUGACUAUUUCCCUGUGGUACCUGCCCACAUCCCCACUUGAAGUUCGGAAAACCUAUUUGUUGACCUCCACUGGCUUCCCUGGUGCCACUCUAUGUCUGCCAUUUUUCUCUUAUCCUCCCUGGUAGUGUUGGUGGGUGUGUUGCCUCAGGUGGCACAAACUCAUCCCAGAGUGUGUCUGACCCAAGGGCAAGGCAUUCAAGGGCUAGACUGUGGCCUCAAAGUCUGUAGCGCUUCCUGCCACCUUCAAUCCUAGACAGUCCUAUGGGCUGAGGAGAACUGUCACCUGCAUCCCCUGUCUCCUCUGCCCUUCUGCUCACCUGGCCCAGGACAAAAGUAGGGGAGGGAGAGAAUGGAGCAUGUGGCCCACCUUCCCCUAGGGGUGAGGGAGAACUUUCUGGACCAAGCACACUGAAAUGGAGACCUGAAGGGUAAGGGGGAAAUGCCCAAGUGUGGGGCAGGAUGGGGACUGUCACCCUUAUUGGCCCCUUCUGCUCCUCACACCUCUUUUCUCCCAGACUUGUGGGACCGCUUCUUGGCUCAGGGCCCUUCAGUCCAGUCUCCUCAAGAGGUCCUCCUCCACUAGCCACACCCUGCCCAGCAUCCAGCUUCCCCAGAGACUUCCCAACUCUGGGGACACUUUCCCCCAGGGAUUCAGUUGAAAGACGGAGGACCCAGAGGAGAAGGAUCCAGAGAGGGUGGGAUCCGGGUAUUCCUCAAAGGGAGCACCUGGUGGCAAGAAGGCACGUGGUGCUGCUGCUCCCAGGGCCACGACCUCAGGUGGGGAUCAGAGACCUGGGGCAGAGGGAGCUGACAGAGGGGACGAGAUCCAGAUAAGAAAUGAACAAGCAGGCGAACCACAGGGAUACCUGAGAGUUCUGGGGUGUGGGGAUCCGUAAAUACCCUCUCAUUCCAGCACAGAUGUAACCUACCUGGGACAUGGGACCUGGAGCCACAUCCUGCUGCUGAAUGGGAAGUGGCAAUACGGUCAGGGGCCUGGCUUCAAACUCUGUUUUCACCCUUCCUAGCCAUGGCAUCUUUGGUCAGCCACUGCUGUGUAUCUGACUCUUGUUUCUUUAUCUGUAAAAGUUAGGCUGAGAACCCAGGACAGAGAUUUAUUACAAGGAAUUGGCUGAUGUUGAUUGUGGGGGUUGGCAUCCUGAGUGGCAUCCUGGGUUCUUGAUGCUCUGACUCCUUCUAAGGGGGUGGGCCUGAGUGGGGCCCGAGCGUGCGUUAUCAUAAUAUAUGCAUAUUUUAUAUGCAGGAGAUCUAUUUCAAGGAACUGGUUUAUGCAACUGUGGAGGUUGGCUAGGCAAGUACAAAAUCUGUAGGUCAUGCAAUCAAGAAGGAAAGAGAAUAGCUCAGGAACAAGUUGGACCCCGGGGCAAUGGUAAAGCCAUUGUCCACAGCCCAUCAGGAAGAGGAGUCUAGCGAGGGGAGGGCAGCCGGAGUGUCCUUCAUCAGGAAGUGUGUCUCUUUCAAGGGCUUGCCUGCUUAGGCCAGGCUCACAGGGGAUACUCUCCCUAAAGGUGACUAAUUAGGGACUUUAAUUACAUCCUUCAAAUCCCUUUGCAGCAGGCCCUAGAUCAGUGUUUGCUUGAAUAACAGGGAGAGGGUGUGUGUUUGCUACAAAGUGGCGGCCGCCCUCUCUCCCGUUCUCGGAGGGAGUGUAGCCUGGUUGACCCGUCAAAGGAAAUCACACGGCAAAAAUGAUUUUUAUGAAGAUUAACUAUUAGAUACUCUUUGGGACAGUUUCCCGACAGCUGGGGCUCGCUUGGGAAUUUACGCACCAAGGAGCUGAGGCUCUGCUUCUCUUAACAGAGGGGACCUGAAGAGGUUCCGGCCAUAGUUGUCUUUGGUCAGAAGCGAGGGUGUCUCUGUGGGGCUCCUGAGGUGUGUGGAUAUGGCACAUCAUGGGGAGGACCUCAAGAUCAACCAGUGCUCCGGAGAUGCCCUGCCCUGGCAUUUGGGGCCACCGCAGCCAGAGCUGCGGCAGCAGAUGACCGUCCCGGCCCUUGGUGACCGGUGGGGCUACAGCAGGUAAUUACCGGGCAGAGGCUGGGAACUGACAGGGUAAUUAUUAGCUUCUAAUUGCAGGGCAAACCCAGGCCGAGAUCCUUCUCUCCAAAGCAGAGGGCAUUACUAUUUGCAUAGCAAUUAAUUACUUUGGGAGCUGCGGAAUUUAAUUACCCACUCGUCCGCAGGAGCCAAUAAUUAAAUUACUCUCAGAAACAGGGUAUUUAUUUCCCAGUUAGGCUGAGCAGGUAGCUCCUACCUUGGGGAGUGAGCCUGGGUGGUGACCCCUGAACCAAUGGUUGGCCCCCCGGCCUGAGCACUCAGAGUGGCAACCUCAGUGCCGCAGGAGGGAGUGUCCGCCCCGUGAUGCAGACGGACGCUCGACACACACAGAUGCAGGCCCUCGUGGAGCACGCUCAGACCCAGGGGCUGGCUCUCACACACGUGGUCGCCGGUGGAGGCAGGGACGCCCGCGCGCGCACCCACAGCGUCAUGUAAACCAUGCACGUAGCAAGAAGGGCAAAAAGACCAAACAGGGCACUGUUGCUCUGUCUUUUGGCCACAGCUGCUUGGCCUAACUUGUGUCAAAAUGUCAAAAUGUAUUUUUAGUACCGUGUACUGUGGCCAACAGACUGAUUCUGAGUCCGUCUAGUCCUUCUAGAAUCUCUUUUCAUCCCCGAUUCCUCUCAGGGCUGCGUCGGGGUUGGGAGGGGCUUAGGGCAGCGUGGGGCUUAGGGAAGGAUUGAAGAACAUCACUCGAUAAUAAUUUAAAAAAUCGGAGAGUUUAAUAUUCCUGCAUCAAAAUGUCCGUGUCGAGAUGUCAUAUACUCUUGAGAGAUGGGGGCCUCUGGAGUCUUCCAAACAGAGUGGCCCUUGGGAGCAGGGCUGUGUUAGGUUCAGUCCUUACUUCUCCCUCUUCAUACAAGGCAAGGUGGGGCUGGGGUCAUGGAGGUAAUGAAGGAGCUGAGGGGAGGGGGAAGCCACCAAGGGUGUGUCUGGAUCAGCUCACCCGCUGACUGGGACAGCCUGUCCCCCAGGCCCGAGAAAGCCUAGAGGUCGGGUGGCAUCAUUCCCGUUUCCCCAUGGCUGUCCCCCAAGUCCACCUGCCCUGUUCUCCACCUCGCUUGCCUGGGCAGUCAGUAGCUGCCAGCUAGUUGAGGCAAGGCUUUUGCAGAGUGUGGGGUGACGUGUCUGGCUCCGGUGCUGGGGAUCCCAGCGGUAGGGCCGCCUGCUGCUGGUGAUGAGACGCCCAGUCCUCUGGGCUAGCGGACCUGGGGUCUUUGUGCGCCACCACCCUCAGAGGAAGGAUGGAAGAGAUCCGGCUCGCCUCCCUUGCUCUUCACUCUGGGAAGGGUCUCAGGCGAAUCAAGUGGGUGCUGGUUAUUCUGGCCUUUUAGAUUCCCCCAGGUGACAUUAUUGAGCCCCUGCUGUGUGCAGGUCCAGAGCCAGGCCACCUCCCUGCCCUGCUGCCUUUGGUUGCAUUCCCAACUGACAUUGGCACCCAGCCCUGACCUCUUGCACCCCUCCUCCCAAAGCCUAGAGCUGAGCCCUGCUCCGACCCCUCCAGCUUGGCCUCAGGGCCGCCCGGGGUGGGAUCCUAUAGGCGCUUCUAAUGCAGUUCUCCCUGACUCUGUUCAGGGCACCCACCACCAAGGAAGAGCCAGGGCCGGCCCUCAGCCCAGGCUGCUGACAGCAGCGAUUCAUCUCCAUCACAGUAAUGGCGUCCCCAUUAAUCGGCCAUAAACUAAUAAAGCAAGCACUUUCCACCCCA